rnacentral:ncRNA from 1 species
GGUCAAGUGAAGAAGCGCAUACGGUGGAUGCCUUGGCAGUCAGAGGCGAUGAAAGACGUGGUAGCCUGCGAAAAGCUUCGGGGAGUCGGCAAACAGACUGUGAUCCGGAGAUGUCUGAAUGGGGGAACCCAGCCAUCAUAAGAUGGUUAUCUUACACUGAAUACAUAGGUGUAAGAGGCGAACCAGGGGAACUGAAACAUCUAAGUACCCUGAGGAAAAGAAAUCAACCGAGAUUCCCUUAGUAGUGGCGAGCGAACGGGGACCAGCCCUUAAGUUGUAUUGAGAUUAGCGGAACGCUCUGGAAAGUGCGGCCAUAGUGGGUGAUAGCCCUGUACGCGAAAAUCCCUUUGCAAUGAAAUCGAGUAGGACGGGGCACGAGAAACCUUGUCUGAAUAUGGGGGGACCAUCCUCCAAGGCUAAAUAAAUGAAAUCGAGUAGGACGGGGCACGAGAAACCUUGUCUGAAUAUGGGGGGACCAUCCUCCAAGGCUAAAUACUACUGACUGACCGAUAGUGAACCAGUACCGUGAGGGAAAGGCGAAAAGAACCGCGGAGAGCGGAGUGAAAUAGAUCCUGAAACCGUAUGCGUACAAGCAGUGGGAGCCCACUUUGUUGGGUGACUGCGUACCUUUUGUAUAAUGGGUCAGCGACUUAUUUUCAGUGGCGAGCUUAACCGAAUAGGGGAGGCGUAGCGAAAGCGAGUCUUAAUAGGGCGUCUAGUCGCUGGGAAUAGACCCGAAACCGGGCGAUCUAUCCAUGGGCAGGUUGAAGGUUGGGUAACACUAACUGGAGGACCGAACCGACUACCGUUGAAAAGUUAGCGGAUGACCUGUGGAUCGGAGUGAAAGGCUAAUCAAGCUCGGAGAUAGCUGGUUCUCCUCGAAAGCUAUUUAGGUAGCGCCUCAUGUAUCACUGUAGGGGGUAGAGCACUGUUUCGGCUAGGGGGUCAUCCCGACUUACCAAACCGAUGCAAACUCCGAAUACCUACAAGUGCCGAGCAUGGGAGACACACGGCGGGUGCUAACGUCCGUCGUGAAAAGGGAAACAACCCAGACCGUCAGCUAAGGUCCCAAAGUCAUGGUUAAGUGGGAAACGAUGUGGGAAGGCUUAGACAGCUAGGAGGUUGGCUUAGAAGCAGCCACCCUUUAAAGAAAGCGUAAUAGCUCACUAGUCGAGUCGGCCUGCGCGGAAGAUGUAACGGGGCUCAAACCAUGCACCGAAGCUACGGGUAUCAUCUUAUGAUGAUGCGGUAGAGGAGCGUUCUGUAAGCCUGUGAAGGUGAGUUGAGAAGCUUGCUGGAGGUAUCAGAAGUGCGAAUGCUGACAUGAGUAACGACAAUGGG